GGACUUAUUGACUUGGUGCGUUUGUCCCCUGUGUGCCUUGGUUCAAGAGUCCCAGGAGUUGCAGGGAAUGAGCCCCCAGGCCAUGGCCCGGGAGUAGCGGCAGGGACGUCUGUGUGUGUGACAGUGCAUGGUUAUAUUUUUUAUAUCAUUUUGUGUAAAAAUGAGGACUUUUAGAUCCAUUUAUUGAUCGUUUUGUAGUGAGCAGUUUUUCUCCGUAGCGUUAUUCGUCAGCAAUAUUGCCAAGUUAGUAGAGAGCUGGAUUUGAUGGGUUGUAAUGGCGCCGGGGCACCUACGGGGCACCCACGGGACGCGGGAAAUUUAGGACACAGACUGGUGAUAUACACUGAACUAGCAUGCCUAAAAAAACAUUAAACUACUUUUUUCAUGUUAAAUGAUUAUGCUUGUAUAAUAUUGGACAUAUUUUGUACUAGUGUUCAUUUUUUUAAUACGUAUAUAAAAUUUACCUCAAACAAUAAAAUUUUCAUUCAU
rnacentral:misc_RNA from 1 species